GAUGAACGCUGGCGGCGUGCCUAAUACAUGCAAGUCGAGCGAACAGAUAAGGAGCUUGCUCCUUUGACGUUAGCGGCGGACGGGUGAGUAACACGUGGGUAACCUACCUAUAAGACUGGAAUAACUCCGGGAAACCGGGGCUAAUGCCGGAUAACAUUUAGAACCGCAUGGUUCUAAAGUGAAAGAUGGUUUUGCUAUCACUUAUAGAUGGACCCGCGCCGUAUUAGCUAGUUGGUAAGGUAACGGCUUACCAAGGCAACGAUACGUAGCCGACCUGAGAGGGUGAUCGGCCACACUGGAACUGAGACACGGUCCAGACUCCUACGGGAGGCAGCAGAAGGGAAUCGUCCGCAAUGGGCGAAAGCCUGACGGAGCAACGCCGCGUGAGUGAUGAAGGUCUUCGGAUCGUAAAACUCUGUUAUUAGGGAAGAACAAAUGUGUAAGUAACUGUGCACGUCUUGACGGUACCUAAUCAGAAAGCCACGGCUAACUACGUG
rnacentral:rRNA from 1 species